rnacentral:lncRNA from 1 species
AGUGUGGCCUUAUGUAUGUAGAUUAGCUGAAAUCCAAAUAACUGAAGUGUGGCCUUAUGUAUGUAGAUUAGCUGAAAUCCAAAUAACUUAAGUGUGGCCUUAUGUUUGUAGAUUACCUGAAAUCCAAAUAACUUAAGUGUGGCCUUAUGUUUGUAGAUUACCUGAAAUCCAAAUAACUUAAGUGUGGCCUUAUGUUUGUAGAUUACCUGAAAU